UUCGAUCAUGGCUCAGAUUGAACGCUGGGUGGAUGCUUUACACAUGCAAGCCGAACGGCAGCACGGACUUCGGUCUGGUGGCGAGUGGCGAACGGGUGAGUAAUUUCGCAUCGGAACGUGCCUAGUAGCGGGGAUAACUACGCGAAAGUAGCCACAUCGCAUACGCCCUUCGGGGGAAAGCGGGGGACCUUCGGGCCUCGCACUAUUAGAGCGGCCGAUAUCGGAUUAGCUUAGUUGGUGGGGUAACGGCUCACCACAGUGACGAUCCGUAGUCAGCUGGUUUGAGAGGACGACCAGCCACACCGACUGAGACACGGCCCAGACUCCUACGGAGGCAGCAGUGGGGAAUUUUGGAUAAUGGGGAAACCUGAUCCAGCCAUCCCGCGUGUGCGAUGAAGGCCUUCGGGUUGUAAAGCACUUUUGGCAGGGAAAGAAACGGCACGAUGUAAUACCCCGUGCAACUGACGGUACCUGCAGAACAAGCACCGGCUAACUACGUGCCAGCAGCCGCGGUAAUACGUAGGGUGCAAGCGUUAAUCGGAAUUACUGGGCGUAAAGCGUGCGCAGGCGGUUCGGAAAGAAAGAUGUGAAAUCCCAGAGCUUAACUUUGGAACUGCAUUUUUAACUACCGAGCUAGAGUGUGUCAGAGGGAGGUGGAAUUCCGCGUAGCAGGAAUGCGUAGAUAUGCGGAGGAACACCGAUGGCGAAGGCAGCCUCCUGGGAUAACACUGACGCUCAUACCGAAAGCGUGGGGAGCAAACAGGAUUAGAUACUCCUGGUAGUCCACGCCCUAAACGAUGUCAACUAGCUGUUGGGGGCCUUCGCCUUAUAGCAGCUAACGCGUGAAGUUGACCGCCUGGGGAGUACGGUCGCAAGAUUAAAACUCAAAGGAAUUGACGGGACCCGCACAAGCGGUGGAUGAUGUGAUUACCUGAUGCAACGCGAAAAACCUUACUCUACCCUUGACAUGUCUGGAAUCCUGAAGAGAUUUGGGAGUGCUCGCAAGAGAACCGGAACACAGGUGCUGCAUGGCUGUCGUCAGCUCGUGUCGUGAGAUGUUGGGUUAAGUCCCGCAACGAGCGGCAACCUUGUCAUUAUUGCUGCUGAAAGGGCACUCUAAUGAGACUGCCGGUGACAAACCGGAGGAAGGUGGGGAUGACGUCAAGUCCUCAUGGCCCUUAUGGGUAGGGCUUCACACGUCAUACAAUGGUCGGGACAGAGGGUCGCCAACCCGCGAGGGGAGCCAAUCCCAGAAACCCGAUCGUAGUCCGGAUCGCAGUCUGCAACUCGACUGCGUGAAGUCGGAAUCGCUAGUAAUCGCGGAUCAGCAUGUCGCGGUGAAUACGUUCCCGGAGUCUUGUACACACCGCCCGUCACACCAUGGGAGUGGGUUUUACCAGAAGUAGUUAGCCUUCCAACUGCAAGGAGGGCGAUUACCACGGUAGGAUUCAUGACUGGGGUGAAGUCGUAACAAGGUAG
rnacentral:rRNA from 1 species